rnacentral:lncRNA from 1 species
UGAAACUCAACCAUCUGUAAUUCGCCCAUCUGAACCUUAUAUCACUCCACCAUUAAUUCCCGCUGUACCUAGCCCAGACUCUGACCCAUUAGAUGUAAACCCACUCUAUGCUUCAUCCCCCAGUCUUCAACCAGACCAAGAUUCUGAACUUCAACCAGAAGCAGAAUCUGAACCCCAGCCAGAACCAGAAACUGAACCUCAACCUCUAAAUCUCAGCCCUCAAAACUCUC